rnacentral:tRNA from 1 species
GCGCUCGUCAAGGGAGACGACCUCGGCUCCUAACCAGUGGGUUCGGGGUUCGAGUCCCUGAUGGCGCA